rnacentral:rRNA from 1 species
CCCUUAGAUGUCCUGGGCCGCACGCGCGUUACACUGAUGCAUUCAACGAGCUUAUAACCUUGGCCGAGAGGCCUGGGCAAUCUUGUUAACGUGCAUCGUGAUAGGGAUAGAUUAUUGAAAUUAUUAAUCUUGAACGAGGAAUUCCUAGUAAACGCAGAUCAUCCAUCUGCAUUGAUUACGUCCCUGCCCUUUGUACACACCGCCCGUCGCACCUACCGAUUGGAUGGUCCGGUGAAGCCUCGGGAUUGUGGUUCUUGCCGCUUUAUUGUGGCGUGACCGCGAGAACUUGUCUAAACCUUAUCAUCUAGAGGAAGGUGAAGUCGUAACA